rnacentral:rRNA from 1 species
UACGUAGGGGCCUAGCGUUGUCCGGAAUUAUUGGGCGUAAAGAGCUCGUAGGUGGUUCGGUAAGUCACGUGUGAAAUCUCCACGCUUAACGUGGAGGCGCCACGUGAAACUGCUGUGACUUGAGUCCGGUAGGGGAGUGUGGAAUUCCCGGUGUAGCGGUGAAAUGCGCAGAUAUCGGGAGGAACACCAGUAGCGAAGGCGGCACUCUGGGCCGGUACUGACGCUGAGACGCGAAAGCGUGGGGAGCGAACAGG